UCUUCGGGAUAGGUAGUAGUUAAGGUGAUGGCUUAACUAGCUUAAAAUUCUCGUAGUCGAAGCUGAAAGGUUGAUCGACCACAUUGGGUCUGAAAAAACCCCAAUGCAAGUUAGUACAGCAGUGAGGAAUCUUGGUCAAUGGCCUAACGGCUGAACUGGCAACUUGGAGAAGUGGCAAGUCUUAUUUUUGAUUAUAAUUUUAGAUAAUCUAUAAGAUUGUAUUAAAAUUGAAUAAAGCUUUGUUUAUAUAUUGAUAAUGACAAUAUAUAUAUCGUGUCUUGACUAAUUACGUGCCAGCAGUCGCGGUAAUACGUAAGAGACUAGUGUUAUUCAUCUUAAUUAGGUUUAAAGGGUACCUAGACGGUCAAUAUAGCUUCUAGAAUGUUAGUACUUGACUAGAGUUUGAUGUAAGGGGGCAGUACUUGAGGAGGAGAGAUGAAAUUCUAUUAUACCAAAGGGACUCGGUAAAGGCGAAGGCAGCCCUUUAUGUAAAAACUGACGUUGAAGGACGAAGGCACAGAGCACAAACAGGAUUAGAUACCCAAGUAGUCUUUGCAGUAAAUGAUGAAUGCCAUAGGUUAGAUUAA
rnacentral:rRNA from 3 species